rnacentral:rRNA from 1 species
AGCGUGGAGACAGGUGGUGCAUGGCUGUCGUCAGCUCGUGUCGUGAGAUGUUGGGUUAAGUCCCGCAACGAGCGCAACCCUCACCCCUUGUUGCCACCAGGUCAGGCUGGGCACUCUAGGGGAACUGCCCCGGUCAACGGGGAGGAAGGUGGGGAUGACGUCAAGUCAUCAUGCCCCUUACGUCCUGGGCUACACACGUGCUACAAUGGCCGGUACAAAGGGAUGCAAGACCGUGAGGUGGAGCUAAACCCAAAAAGCCGGUCUAAGUUCAGAUUGGAGUCUGCAACUCGACUCCAUGAAGGAGGAAUCGCUAGUAAUCGCGCAUCAGCACGGCGCGGUGAAUACGUUCCCGGGCCUUGUACACACCGCCCGUCACACCACGAAAGUCUGCUGUACUCGAAGUCGCUGAG